CUGGGGAACCCUGAGGGGACGAUGGUAAUGGAGGACAACAAGACUACACCUCGUCCAGAACCCACAGAGUAUAGGACCACACAGUGUGACUGAGUCAGUAGACAUGGAGGGGAAGCCUGAUCUGCUGCUAGUCUAAGACUAUAGAAGACGGACCAGAGAGCAUUGAUCUGCUGAGUGGACUAAAGAUGGGGGAGCAGGGUGUUUGGUUGGAGGCUAACAGAGGCGACUGGGCGACCAUCUUAGAUUCCCAGACCCAGACC